UAAAACACAUUUAUCACUCUUUGAUUAACUUUGACAAAAAAAACCUACGGUAAACUAAUAUAACCCCGAAACAUCAACUCUAAACCCUAAAUCCCGAAACAUCAACUCUAAACCCUAAACCCUAAACCUUAAACCUUCAAAUCUAAACCCUAAAACAUCAACUAUAAACCCUAAACAUAAACCCUAAACCAUAUAUUUUUUCUGAAAUUUGAACCCUAAACCCUAAAACCCUAAACCUUCAAAUCUAA
rnacentral:lncRNA from 1 species